rnacentral:rRNA from 1 species
AGAACGAACGCUGGCGGCAGGCCUAACACAUGCAAGUCGAACGCGAUCUUCGGAUCGAGUGGCGCACGGGUGAGUAACGCGUGGGAAUCUGCCCUGUGGUACGGAAUAACAUCGGGAAACUGGUGCUAAUACCGUAUAUCCCCUGAGGGGGAAAGAUUUAUCGCCAUGGGAGGAGCCCGCGUAGGAUUAGCUAGUUGGUGAGGUAACGGCUCACCAAGGCGACGAUCCUUAGCUGGUCUGAGAGGAUGAUCAGCCACACUGGGACUGAGAUACGGCCCAGACUCCUACGGGAGGCAGCAGUGGGGAAUAUUGGACAAUGGGGGAAACCCUGAUCCAGCCAUGCCGCGUGUGUGAUGAAGGCCUUCGGGUUGUAAAGCACUUUCGCACGUGACGAUGAUGACGGUAACGUGAGAAGAAGCCCCGGCUAACUUCGUGCCAGCAGCCGC